UGUUCUUAGGGUUGGGAAAAGCAUGAGUGUGAGUAAAGGGUGACAAUAAUUUAUUCUUUACUAACAUUUUCAUGUCAAUGCUAUCCCACAGUGUAACGAGGGAUUUUAAUGAUCAUCCCUCAUCUCUCUUUCAGUCUCCUGUUUUCCCGUCAUAAAUGAAAGGCUCUCCUGAGAGAGCAUGGCCGGGUUCCUCACACAUCAGAUGAGAGACCUAAUAGUUUCAAAUCCAGCAGAGUGGGGAAGAUGCCAAGAGCAAAAUCUACCCAGACAUCAGAAUUUCCCAGGAAGAUAAAGAGCUUUUUGUAAGGAGAUGGUUUCAAGAAGCUGAGUUACAGAACUGGAAUGGCUCUCAGCGUGAAGAUCAGCCCAGAUCUCUUCCCACACACCUCUUCAGACAGCUGCAGUAAACUACAGGUAGGUGUGUUUUACCGCCGUGCACUCUGGAUCAUUCAGUGUGCCUCAGGACCACCAAGAAAGACUUUGUUCUUUGUCUGGGAACACAACAGACACAAACUCUCCCUCUUUUAAUUAGAGCACCGCCACACUUUAUCAACAAAGAUGCUGCUACUGGAGUUACUGUUGUCUAUAAACAGAGCUCCUUCAGUCAGUGUGAAUGAAUGAGUCAUCAUAGUCUUCAGGAUUCACUUUUCAAAGGUUUUGUUUUGGUAGUAGGUGUUUCAUUAUCAGAACAAUCCUGUUUUUGUUUUAUUUUUUGUGUUAUUUUCCAUAUUUAAGUUGGAGGGACUCUAUCAGGGAAUAGUAUAUCAUAGGGAAAAUUAUUUUGACUUAGGCCUAUU